CAAAAGGCCCUUUUCAGGGCCCCCUACUCUUUCACUUGAGGAGCUGU
rfam:Camelus ferus unplaced genomic scaffold scaffold2639, whole genome shotgun sequence.